rnacentral:rRNA from 1 species
UACGGAGGGAGCUAGCGUUGUUCGGAAUUACUGGGCGUAAAGCGCACGUAGGCGGCUUUUCAAGUCAGGGGUGAAAUCCCGGGGCUCAACCUCGGAACUGCCCUUGAAACUGGAAGGCUAGAAUCCUGGAGAGGCGAGUGGAAUUCCGAGUGUAGAGGUGAAAUUCGUAGAUAUUCGGAAGAACACCAGUGGCGAAGGCGGCUCACUGGACCGGCAUUGACGCUGAGGUGCGAAAGCGUGGGGAGCAAACAGGAUUAGAACCGUACGU